GCUGUCUUGUAAUGCGGAGCCGAUUCUAACAGUAGCGAAAUUGUUAAAACUUUGUAUUGUAUUUUCGGAAAUAAAGACAGUGCUUUAUACAAACUGUCUUGAAGAUAGGCAAAUACUUACUUAGGCCUAUUAAGUUACAACUUAGGUUUUAAUCGUAGGCCUAACUGACGGAUGUGGUUCAGAUUUUAUGAAAUGCAAGUGGCUCGUCAAAUGUUCUUUUAUAAAAUAAAUUACCAGGGCCUAAAAUUAAGAGUAGGCUCCGCAAAGUAUAUACACAUUUAAAUUGUUUCAGGUAACAUAUAGGGCACGAACACUUGUCGAUUCCUUGAAGGUGGCUCAACAAAAUGCAAGGCAUCAAAAGUAACAUCUGAUCAGUACGGUUCAAGAAGAAACGAGUGUUGAAUUCUGAUCUUUGUUUUAAAUCAAGAUUACCUUAUUUGACUCAUGCAUCUUCGGCUAAAGCGACAGACCCUGAGUUAGAGGCAGUUAAUCAAAGACUGGCUCGGACAAGCCAAAUCAAGAGGUCUGAGCCAAAUACAAGGAACAAAUGGGACAAUAUUCCUGGUUCUGGAGCCAAGCAACACCCAACACUUGGAAACAAAGACCAAGAAUAGUUAUUUUUAAUUUAACAAUUUAUUCUUUUACUUUACAAAAUUAACACCUACAUUUUAAAAGCUAGCUUUGGAAAAUAAAUAUGU